UCUUGUAUUGGUUUAACCAAAAAGUUCAUUCAGGUUUUUCAGUAAGAUGCUGUGGAAAAACCUGAACAAGCUUUUUGGCCAACCCAAUAUAAUGA
ensembl:miRNA